AUUGAACGCUGGCGGUAUGCCUAACACAUGCAAGUCGAACGGCAGCACAGUAAGAGCUUUCUCGUACGGGUGGCGAGUGGCGGACGGGUGAGGAAUACAUCGGAAUCUGCUUUGUCGUGGGGGAUAACGGAGGGAAACUUACGCUAAUACCGCAGACGACCUACGGGUGAAAGCAGGGGAUCUUCGGACCUUGCGCGAGUGAAUGAGCCGAUGUCGGAUUAGCUAGUUGGCGGGGUAAAGGCCCACCAAGGCGACGAUCCGUAGCUGGUCUGAGAGGAUGAUCAGCCACACUGGAACUGAGACACGGCCCAGACUCCUACGGGAGGCAGCAGUGGGGAAUAUUGGACAAUGGGCGCAAGCCUGAUCCAGCCAUACCGCGUGCGGGAAGAAGGCCUUCGGGUUGUAAAGCGCUUUUGUUCGGAAAGAAAAGCAGUAGGUUAAUACCCCGCUGUUAUGACGGUACCCAAAGAAUAAGCACCGGCUAACUUCGUG
rnacentral:rRNA from 1 species